UGGGAUUUCGGACAACCCAGAAUUAAAAUCAUGAAUACAUAAUGGGCUUGGAUUUACAACAUUAUAAAUGAAAUGUGCUCUCUUUGGAAGCAGCAGGGCCCCCUCCCCUUUCGACAGGUUGUGUGUGAGACUUUAAAUCAUCAAACUGUAAAUUUUAAAUUGUUAUUGAUCCCUUUACCCCGAGUCCGAAAGUGUAUAUUUAUUUUCUUACUCUUCUUAUAUUUAUUGUUUGUUUACUUGCACUGCUGUAACUGGAGCCUCGUCGUCUCGUCUCUCUGGACUGUAUGUAGCGGAGAUGACAAUAAAGUUUUUUUUUUGUUUUUUUUUGCCUGUCCCAUUUGGUUCUUUAGCCAUCAGAAUUGUUGUCUGAAGACCAACAAGGAUACCCAAUGGAUUUACUUUGCCAAAUGGAUCUUCGUGGCAUUGCCGUAUUGGUCCAUUUGGUCGAUCUUUGUUUUUAUUAUUUAUUAUAUUUUAUUUUCAGAUGUUACAGAUGGGACAGACAUGAGUGAGGGAUAGGAAAGGGAGAAAGAAAGAGGAAGGAAAGGAAAAACAGAAGGGGAGAGGGACAGUGAGAAAGGGGGGGAGAAAAAAAAUAAGAAUCUCCUGGAUCACCUGUUGAGAGAAGAAUAGAAAACAAGCAAAAAAACAAAAAAAAAACAAAGCAACAUACUAAACACAACACCAUCGCAUUAAUCUAGCUAAGUGUAAACAGCAGUAAAUACUAAAUAUUCAAUGUUGUUGUGCAGUACGCAGGACAGAUGUGCUUCGAAGUAGUAGCCAAGAAAGGUGUAAUUUAAGUCUAUGAGCAGUGAACACCCGUGUGCAUACCUGUGUGGAUCAGCGUGCUUGUAUUCCAAAGGUUUCUCCAUGUAACGAUCUGCUAGGGAGUGUGGGGGGGGGGGGGAGCCACAGCCCCGUCCUCCAGGGUAUGAAGCAGGUAUGGAGGAGAUCAAAACUCCAGACAUCCAGAGGCCCCCAGAACACAAGAGACCAUAGAAGACCAACAGAGGGGCAGCCGCGCCACUGUCCCAGCA
ensembl:lncRNA